rnacentral:rRNA from 1 species
UACGUAGGGUGCGAGCGUUGUCCGGAAUUAUUGGGCGUAAAGAGCUCGUAGGCGGUCUGUCGCGUCGGCUGUGAAAUCCCGAGGCUCAACCUCGGGUCUGCAGUCGAUACGGGCAAACUAGAGUAUUGCAGGGGAGACUGGAAUUCCUGGUGUAGCGGUGAAAUGCGCAGAUAUCAGGAGGAACACCGGUGGCGAAGGCGGCUCUCUGGGCAUUACCUGACGCUGAGGCACGAAAGCGUGGGGAGCAAACAGG